rnacentral:rRNA from 1 species
GACGAAGGUGGCGAGCGUUACUCGGAAUCACUAGGCGUAAAGCGCGUGUAGGCGGGUGCUUAAGUCCGUCGUGAAAUUUCCCGGCUCAACUGGGCGGGGUCAGCGGAUACGGUGUGGCUGGAGCAAGCUAGGGGGCAAUGGAAUUCCCGGUGUAGUGGUGGAAUGCGUAGAUAUCGGGAGGAACACCAGUGGCGAAGGCGGUUGCCUGGAGCUUUGCUGACGCUGAUGCGCGAAAGCGUGGGGAGCGAUCCGG